rnacentral:rRNA from 1 species
UACGUAGGUGGCGAGCGUUGUCCGGAAUUACUGGGUGUAAAGGGCGUGUAGGCGGGAAGGCAAGUCAGAUGUGAAAUUCCAGGGCUCAACCCUGGCGCUGCAUCUGAAACUGCGUUUCUUGAGUGUCGGAGAGGAAAGUGGAAUUCCCAGUGUAGCGGUGAAAUGCGUAGAGAUUGGGAGGAACACCAGUGGCGAAGGCGACUUUCUGGACGAUAACUGACGCUGAGGCGCGAAAGCGUGGGGAGCAAACAGGAUUAGAUACCCUGGUAGUCCACGCUGUAAACGAUGGAUACUAGGUGUAGGGGGUAUCGAACCCCCCUGUGCCGGAGUUAACACAAUAAGUAUCCCACCUGGGGAGUACGGCCGCAAGGUUGAA